rnacentral:misc_RNA from 1 species
GAGCAAAUGGUUUACAAAUUUUAAUAGAGCCAUUUAAGCAUGUUAAGAAGCCGCUUUCUCAUGAUGCCAAAUUUUCAAUAAUGUUCAAAAGAAAUAUGGAUGGAAACUUACACAUCAAAAUAAUUGCAAAUGUUCAGAGACAAAAGAGUCAUUGUGAUUUGAAGGUUCAUGAUGUUUGUGAUUUCUUCAAACUUCAGAUUAGGUGCAUUAUGAUGUUUGUCCAAUGUUUAAACCCUGAUAUGCAAGAUCAACCCAGAAGACAGUUGCAUAGAACCUCAACUUCUGUUUGGUAUCCAUGCUACACUUUUUCCCCCUUUCUUUUGUUUGAUAUAUAUUGAGAGAGACAUUGACAUCUUAAAGAGAAAAUCCGGAUUGCUAAAACAUAAGAAAAUU